CCCGGUUUGAAGCAGUGGUCAUGCCCAGGCCACGGAGGCAGUCAGUGGAUGAGAUGGCUCCAGGAAACAACACCACAAAGUUAUCAGCGUGAAGUGGAUGAUGAUGUGGUGUCAUUCCCAGAAAGUCUUCUGCUGUUGCUAUCUCGUGAUGCAUCUUGACAGUGUGAUGGCAUCCCGCAGCUCUCUGUGCAUCUUCAGGCAAAUGUCACACACUGAAACUAAACAGGAUCUUUUUUUUCUUGUUCAUCCGACGUGCUGUUUUCUGUGCCCGAGAUACGAAUCUGUAUUUGAAAAUGCCUUAACCCUUUGGAAGGACAACCCUUCCUCUCUGUGCCCCAGGAGGGAGUUUUGCAGCAGAUGUGGGGGACGAUGCGUUGGCACUGAGGUCAUUCUGCAUGCUCGAUGUACUCCCAUUGCAAAAGGUACCAAGACAUAUUCAAAAUCAGUUUCUUGUCGAAAGAUGGAAGUAGAGGACAAAGCAGUAACAAAAACCUUCAUGGAGUGA
rnacentral:lncRNA from 1 species